rnacentral:rRNA from 1 species
AGUGGGGAAUCUUGGACAAUGGGCGCAAGCCUGAUCCAGCCAUGCCGCGUGAGUGAAGAAGGUCUUCGGAUUGUAAAGCUCUUUUGCCAGGGACGAUAAUGACGGUACCUGGAGAAUAAGCCCCGGCAAACUUCGUGCCAGCAGCCGCGGUAAUACGAAGGGGGCUAGCGUUGUUCGGAAUUACUGGGCGUAAAGCGCACGUAGGCGGGUGGUUAAGUCAGGGGUGAAAUCCCGGAGCUCAACUCCGGAACUGCCUUUGAUACUGGCCAUCUAGAGAUCGGAAGAGGUGAGUGGAAUUCCCAGUGUAGAGGUGAAAUUCGUAGAUAUUGGGAAGAACACCAGUGGCGAAGGCGGCUCACUGGUCCGAUACUGACGCUGAGGUGCGAAAGCGUGGGGAGCAAA